rnacentral:rRNA from 1 species
CACGUAGGGGCCAAGCGUUGUCCGGAUUUAUUGGGCGUAAAGAGCUCGUAGGCGGUUCGACAAGUCGGGUGUGAAAACUCCGGGCUCAACCCGGAGACGCCACCCGAUACUGUCGUGACUGGAGUCCGGUAGGGGAGUGGGGAAUUCCUGGUGUAGCGGUGGAAUGCGCAGAUAUCAGGAGGAACACCGGUGGCGAAGGCGGGUCUCUGGGCCGAGAUUGACGCUGAGGAGCGAAAGCGUGGGGAGCGAACGGG